rnacentral:rRNA from 1 species
CACUGCCGAGAAAAGCCUCUAGAUAGAAAAUAGGUGCCCGUACCGCAAACCGACACAGGUAGUCAAGAUGAGAAUUCUAAGGUGAGCGAGCGAACUCUCGUUAAGGAACUCGGCAAAAUGACCCCGUAACUUCGGGAGAAGGGGUGCUCUUUAGGGUUAACGCCCAGAAGAGCCGCAGUGAAUAGGCCCAAGCGACUGUUUAUCAAAAACACAGGUCUCUGCUAAACCGUAAGGUGAUGUAUAGGGGCUGACGCCUGCCCGGUGCUGGAAGGUUAAGAGGAGUGGUUAGCUUCUGCGAAGCUACGAAUCGAAGCCCCAGUAAACGGCGGCCGUAACUAUAACGGUCCUAAGGUAGCGAAAUUCCUUGUCGGGUAAGUUCCGACCCGCACGAAAGGCGUAACGAUUUGGGCACUGUCUCAACGAGAGACUCGGUGAAAUCAUAGUACCUGUGAAGAUGCAGGUUACCCGCGACAGGACGGAAAGACCCCGUGGAGCUUUACUGUAGCCUGAUAUUGAAAUUCGGCACAGCUUGUACAGGAUAGGUAGGAGCCUUUGAAACGUGAGCGCUAGCUUACGUGGAGGCGCUGGUGGGAUACUACCCUAGCUGUGUUGGCUUUCUAACCCGCACCACUUAUCGUGGUGGGAGACAGUGUCAGGCGGGCAGUUUGACUGGGGCGGUCGCCUCCUAAAAGGUAACGGAGGCGCUCAAAGGUUCCCUCAGAAUGGUUGGAAAUCAUUCAUAGAGUGUAAAGGCAUAAGGGAGCUUGACUGCGAGACCUACAAGUCGAGCAGGGUCGAAAGACGGACUUAGUGAUCCGGUGGUUCCGCAUGGAAGGGCCAUCGCUCAACGGAUAAAAGCUACCCCGGGGAUAACAGGCUUAUCUCCCCCAAGAGUUCACAUCGACGGGGAGGUUUGGCACCUCGAUGUCGGCUCAUCGCAUCCUGGGGCUGUAGUCGGUCCCAAGGGUUGGGCUGUUCGCCCAUUAAAGCGGUACGCGAGCUGGGUUCAGAACGUCGUGAGACAGUUCGGUCCCUAUCCGUCGUGGGCGUAGGAAAUUUGAGAGGAGCUGUCCUUAGUACGAGAGGACCGGGAUGGACAUACCUCUGGUGUACCAGUUGUCGUGCCAACGGCAUAGCUGGGUAGCUAUGUGUGGACGGGAUAAGUGCUGAAAGCAUCUAAGCAUGAAGCCCCCCUCAAGAUGAGAUUUCCCAACUUCGGUUAUAAGAUCCCUCAAAGAUGAUGAGGUUAAUAGGUUCGAGGUGGAAGCAUGGUGACAUGUGGAGCUGACGAAUACUAAUCGAUCGAAGACU